AUGCGUGGCCUUCAUCUCUGGCGCGUUCUUUCUGGCGAGGUCCCCAGUCCGCCGUGUCCAGUUCCUCCUGUGGCUCCUACUCCACCGACGCCACCGGUUCUUGCUGCCGACGCUGAUCAGGCUGCAAAGGAUGCCGCUAAGCUGGCUGAUGACGCUGCCGUUCUUGCUUAUGAUGAGCAAGUUCAGACCUAUGUGCACGCACUUCAGACUUAUCAUGCAGCUCUGUCUGCUUACACUCAGUGGCUUGAUGAUGAUGCUCGUGCUGCCGCUGUUCUCACUGCUAGUGUUCUGCCUCAGUUUGCCUCUGAGUUUCUUGGCCUCUCUACUAUAUUUGAGAUCUGGACUCGGCUUCGUCAGCGCUAUCAGCCCUCUGGUGAUGCCUUAUACCUGUCUGUGGUUCGUCAGGAGCAUGCUCUUCAGCAGGGUGACUCCACUGUUGAUGAGUUCUAUGCACAGAGUUCUGCUAUCUGGCGUCAGCUUGAUUCUCUCCGCACUGCUGGUUGCCGUACUUGUCAGUGUUGCCAGGCUGUGCGGGCUGAUUUGGAGUUUCAUCGUGUCUACGAGUUCUUGUCUCGACUCCGUAAGGAGUUUGAGCCCCGGCGCGCUCAGUUGUUUGCUCGUGGUCAUAUCUCCCUCAUGGAGGCGCUUUCUAAGAUCCGUGCCGAGGAGACUCGCCUCCGUGGUGCUGGUUUACUUGAGGUUCCCUCUGUGCUCGCUACUCGAGUUCCUGCUAUGACUGCUGCACUGACUCCUUCCCACUCGAGUGCUCCUCCGCUCUUGCCUACUCCUAUGGGCGGCCAGGGUCGAUCUCGUCCUCACUUCGGCUACUGCAAGAUGGAUGGUCAUGUUGAGUCUCAGUGCUUCUAGAAGAAGAAACACCUGCGUAAGGCGCGAUCAUCAGCUUCAGGGACUUCUUCUACUUCGACAUCUUCAGCCACCGCCUUGACUGAGAAGGAUAUUCUACGACUUAAGCGUCCGCUUGCCGCUUCAGGUUCUCCUUCGGCGGGUACUGCAGGUUCUGUGACUAAUGCUUCCCGCACUGAGCAACCACGCUCUACACAGUCAGGUACAUCCUCGUGGGUUCUGGACUCCGGAGCUUCUUUUCAUAUGUCUUUCUCCCACGGUUUCCUCACCUCGCAUGUCACCAGAUUCUGCAACUUCAUCCUCGGUGAUUUCUUCGUCUCCACCUCCUGA
rnacentral:rRNA from 1 species